UACGUAGGUGGCAAGCGUUGUCCGGAUUUACUGGGCGUAAAGAGCGCGCAGGCGGUCGGAUCAGUCGAAUGUGAAAGCCCCCGGCUCAACUGGGGAGGGUCAUUCGAUACUGUCCGACUCGAAGGCAGGAGAGGGAAGCGGAAUUUCCGGUGUAGCGGUGAAAUGCGUAGAUAUCGGAAGGAACAUCAGUGGCGAAAGCGACUUCCUGGACCAAUACUGACGCUCAUGUGCGAAAGCGUGGGGAGCAAACAGG
rnacentral:rRNA from 1 species